UGGCGAACGGGUGAGUAACACGUGAGUAACCUGCCCUUAACUUCGGGAUAAGCCUGGGAAACCGGGUCUAAUACCGGAUACGACGGACCACCGCAUGGCGGUCCGUGGAAAGCUUGAUGCGGUUUUGGAUGGACUCGCGGCCUAUCAGCUAGUUGGUUGGGGUAAUGGCCCACCAAGGCGACGACGGGUAGCCGGCCUGAGAGGGUGACCGGCCACACUGGGACUGAGACACGGCCCAGACUCCUACGGGAGGCAGCAGUGGGGAAUAUUGCACAAUGGGCGAAAGCCUGAUGCAGCGACGCCGCGUGAGGGACGAAGGCCUUCGGGUUGUAAACCUCUUUCAGCAGGGAAGAAGCGAAAGUGACGGUACCUGCAGAAGAAGCGCCGGCUAACUACGUGCCAGCAGCCGCGGUAAUACGUAGGGCGCAAGCGUUAUCCGGAAUUAUUGGGCGUAAAGAGCUCGUAGGCGGUUUGUCGCGUCUGCUGU
rnacentral:rRNA from 1 species